rnacentral:rRNA from 1 species
GCAUAUCAAUAAGCGGAGGAAAAGAAACUAACAAGGAUUCCCCUAGUAACUGCGAGUGAAGCGGGAAAAGCUCAAAUUUAAAAUCUGGCAGUCUUUGAUUGUCCGAGUUGUAAUCUAGAGAAGCAUUAUCCGCGCUGGACCGUGUACAAGUCUCCUGGAAUGGAGCGUCAUAGAGGGUGAGAAUCCCGUCUUUGACACGGACUGCCAGGGCUUUGUGAUGUGCUCUCAAAGAGUCGAGUUGUUUGGGAAUGCAGCUCAAAAUGGGUGGUAAAUUCCAUCUAAAGCUAAAUAUUGGCGAGAGACCGAUAGCGAACAAGUACCGUGAGGGAAAGAUGAAAAGAACUUUGGAAAGAGAGUUAAACAGUACGUGAAAUUGCUGAAAGGGAAACGCUUGAAGUCAGUCGCGUUGGCCGGGAAUCAACCUUGCUUUUGCUGGGCGUACUUCCUGGUUAACGGGUCAGCAUCAAUUUUGACCGUUGGAUAAAGUUGUAGGGAAUGUGGCAUCUUCGGAUGUGUUAUAGCCCUGCUUCGCAUACAACGAUUGGGAUUGAGGAACUCAGCACGCCGCAAGGCCGGGUUUUUAACCACGUUCGUGCUUAGGAUGCUGGCAUAAUGGCUUUAAUCGACCCGUCUUGAAACACGGACCAAGGAGUCUAACAUGCCUGCGAGUGUUUGGGUGGAAAACCCGAGCGCGUAAUGAAAGUGAAAGUUGAGAUCCCUGUCGUGGGGAGCAUCGACGCCCGGACUUGAACUUUUGUGACGGAUCCGCGGUAGAGCAUGUAUGUUGGGACCCGAAAGAUGGUGAACUAUGCCUGAAUAGGGUGAAGCCAGAGGAAACUCUGGUGGAGGCUCGUAGCGAUUCUGACGUGCAAAUCGAUCGUCAAAUUUGGGUAUAGGGGGCGAAAGACUAAUCGAACCAUCUAGUAGCUGGGUUCCUGCCGA